GGCUAACGCUGGCGGCGUGUCUUAGCCAUGCAAGUCGAGCGGACUUAUGGGGUAACUUAUAAGUCAGCGGCGGACGGCGGAGUAACACGUAGCUAACCUACCCUCUGGACGGGGAUAACCUACCGAAAGGUGGGCUAAUACCCGAUGUAGUCAUCCUGUAUAGGGGUGAUGAAAGGUGGGCUUCUGUUUACAAGCUCAUGCUGGAGGAGGGGGCUGCGGCCUAUCAGGUAGUUGGUAGGGUAAUAGCCUACCAAGCCGAUGACGGGUAGCCGGCCUGAGAGGGUGACCGGCCCGAGGGGCACUGAGAUACGGGUCCCACUCCUACGGGAGGCAGCAGGCUAGAAAUUUGGGCAAUGGGGGAAACCCUGACCCAGUGACGCCGCGUGCAGGAAGGAGCCCUUCGGGGUGUAAACUGCUGUCGUGUAGGGAGAAGGGUACUAAAGGUGAACAAUCUUAGUUACUUGACGGUACUACAGGAGGAAGCCCAGGCUAACCUCGUG
rnacentral:rRNA from 1 species